AUGGCUCACACUCAAGACCUGCAACAUGCAGGAUCUGUGGUCGUAAGCUAGUAGGUACACUGUGACCCAUUAUAAAUCCAACAUAAGCCUUCUGAAAGCAACUUGGAAGGAGGAUCGGUGAGAAGCUUAAAUACAUUUAAUCAAGCAUUCUUGUCUGCUAACUUCAAAAGGGAGCCAAACAUGGAGGACAUUUGUGGAGAUUCAGCAUGCAGGAGGCUUAAGAUAUCUUAUGACAGUUUGCUUGAGUGUGUAGCAUUCCUAAAUGUUAGGAGUAUCUAAUGAAGUCUGAAGAAGCCUGGAGGAAAAAUGGAUGCUACCUUAAUUUAAUCACCAACAAGGUUCAGAUCAACAGAUUGAAAGAUUGGUUGCAAAGACCAGAUACAGAACAGAAGAUGAAAACUGCACAAAGAGAACACACAUUUGAAUUGCUGUGCAGGAAUUCUCCAGGGACUUAUCAGAGUUGCUGGAAGAAAACAGCUGAGGAUUGAGCACAGUGAACUAAUUUCCUCACAUCUUUGAAUAAGCAGAAGUUGGUGAAAAGGAAUGUAAAUAUUCUUAUGGCAAAAUGAGUUCAAAAAGAAGCCUUAAAUCCUUAAAAUUAAUAAACCAAUACACCAAAACAUAAGACUGCACAAUUAUUUGCAUGGCUGAUAAGAAGAAGGAAAAUAAUUCCAGAUAUCUUUUUGAAGAAAGGAACAAUAAAACAGGCAUAUUAAAAAAUAAAACCACAUUAAAAACUAUUCAAUAGAAAAAAAUAUAGAAGGCACCAAAUACGAGAAAGUAAACUUCCUUUUAUUGACACAGAAUACUUUUAAGAGCGGUGAUUUGAGGUGUUAACUUCCUUUACUUCCUGACCCAUUGUCCAGAACUUCUGAAGUUGUUCCUUUUUACAUUUUCUACCUUCUCAUGUACCUUUCACCUUCCC
rnacentral:lncRNA from 1 species